UGUGUUCAAUCACUCUCGCAGCGGCGCUGAAAGCUACCCUGGAUUUACCCGCCUUAUACACCCGCCUCAUUUACAGCGACGCCACAACAGCACAUGGCAUGGAAGCUGUUAGCUUUCGGACGUACAGAUUAAACUCACAGAGGAAGAUCUUCUUUUCUAAGACCCUAAGUCUAUAAUACACAGAGAAUCCUGUUCACGUAGACUAGGAUACCGCUGUGUUUUCUCAACAUGACAGACCCCGAGGGUGGAGGGUCUGGGACGGUGAUGUCGGUGUUGUUACUGUUGCUGUGCCAACUUACAUACACAUAUGUUGCAGGUGCUGCUCCAGCAUUUGACAAUAUAGCGACUGAUGGCAGUACGCGCGUCAGUAUGGCUGAAAACACCGGAACUGGAACUUCAGUAUUCGGUAUUCUGGCAACUGACCCGGACGGGGACACCAUGAUCUUUGCACUGACUGCAACAUCUGUGCCCUUUACGCUGGUUGGUCAGCAGCUACAAGUGGGCGGGACAUUGGAUUACGAAACCACAACGAAUUACUUACUGACUGUGACGUACGUUUAGAAGUGUUUUACAAGCAAAUAUGUCUUUGCAUAUUAUACAACUAAUAUAGAUGUUCUUUCAAGAUUGUACAGUUGAUACACUCUAGCUGAAAAUACUUGCAGGUGUGCCCAUCAGUGAACAUUAGUUGUCAUCUACCGGAUCAUGCGUUAUUACUCCGUAAAGACGCGAAAUAUUUCAUGGAUAACAAAAUCUAUGUGGUUUGUAACGGCGUUUCGGGACUACUUCCUGUCCCUUCAUCGGGUAA